UCCCUGGUGGCUCAGACAGUAAAGUGUCUGCCUACAAUGUGGGAGACCCAGGUUCGAUUCCUGGGUCGGGAA
rnacentral:tRNA from 1 species